UACGAAGGGGGCUAGCGUUGUUCGGAAUUACUGGGCGUAAAGCGCGCGCAGGCGGUCCCUUAAGUCGGGGGUGAAAGCCCAGAGCUCAACUCUGGAACUGCCCUCGAAACUAGAGGACUUGGGUACGGGAGAGGUGAGUGGAAUUCCGAGUGUAGAGGUGAAAUUCGUAGAUAUUCGGAAGAACACCGGUGGCGAAGGCGGCUCACUGGCUCAUUACUGACGCUGAGGCACGAAAGCUAGGGGAGCAAACAGG
rnacentral:rRNA from 1 species